GACGAACGCUGGCGGCGUGCUUAACACAUGCAAGUCGAACGGUGAACUCCGCCUGCGGGGGGAUGAUUGGGGGACGAGCGGGUAAGAAACAGGCAAGCUGCCUUCCGCUCAGGGUUAACUAACUUAAGGAAACGCGGGUACAUGCUAUAUCGGCUCUCCUCCUGGAUGGGGGGGGGUGGGAUUUAUCGGCGGCUGGGGAUGGAGCCGCGGCUUAUCAGCUUGUUGGUGGGGUAGUGGCCUACCAAGGCGACGACGGGUAGCCGGCCUGAGAGGGUGACCGGCCACAUUGGGACUGAGAUACGGCCCAGACUCCUACGGGAGGCAGCAGUGGGGAAUAUUGCGCAAUGGGCGGAAGCCUGACGCAGCGACGCCGCGUGCGGGAUGACGGCCUUCGGGUUGUAAACCGCUUUCAGCAGGGACGAAGCGAAAGUGACGGUAACGGCAGAAGAAGCACCGGCUAACUACGUG
rnacentral:rRNA from 1 species